CAACAGCAACCAGUUAAGAAUCCUAUGUAUCGCUGGGCGGAUCAAUGAGGUCGACGAAUCCAUUGGUUACUUGUAGCUUGUUGCAACGAAAUUUCUCAUCACCAGCAACGGAUCAUCUGCUCAAAAGGUACACAAAGUUGUCUGCGCUGAUACUAUUCUAUUUUUUUCCCGAAAGACGUUUGGUACUCUGUUUGGUUGCUUGGUCCCCUGAUGUGAAACCCUAAUUUUCUACGCAGAAAUUGGUUAAUUUCAGGACCAGUGUUUGUAUGUGUUUGUGCGGGGAGAAAGCUCUAAUUGUUUAAGUUCAGAAAAGAUUGAACACUUUAAUUAUUAUUAUUUUUCGCUUUAUUGGAUAUAUAUAGCUUACAGUGCCCAGGAAACGAACACAGCACACACAAGAAGCACAAAGAACAUAGAAUGUGUCUCCAAUCUGGAAGGCAUACAUAGUAUAAAAUUAUCUAUACUCAUGAUUAUGAAUAGGCCUCUCUGCUUUAUUAUCUUAUCAAACUGACUAGGAAUCCAAGCACCAACAGUAAUAAUCUGAUCUGGAUAAAGCAAGUAAGUCCUCUGGGCUCAUCCUCUCCAGCUCAUUUUGCCUCCAUGGAGCCAAAUUGUUACGGUUCUGUGGAUCAGUGGCAACUGGAUUAUCCUCUGCACCAUGUCGUUGAGAUCUCAUCCUCAUGUACAGUCUCAUAGUUGCCACACAAUCUUCAUAGGGGUCUUGGGUUCCAAUUUGAAUGUCAUACCUGCAAUAGAUAGGACUGGUGUUAAGUAAUUUACAGACUACAGUAGAUAAAAGCUUGGGCUUGAUGGUUAACUUACCCAAGAUAGGCCUGUGUUAGGUACUUGAGUGAGUUGCUAAGCUUGCUUGUUUUCAUUAAUGGAGGGUACUUUGCUGUGUCCCUGCAGUAACAUGACAUGAUUCCAUACGAUUAUUAAUCAACUUGAUGGUCAACCAAUCCCCACCUCCUAGGAGAUAGGAAUCUACUAGUGACUACUAAAAAGAUAGCUUUAUAUACGUACCUGAUCAUCACAGCUGGAUAUUCCACUUGAAGGCGGUCAAGGUCGUGGUCCAAGCCAUGACCCACGAGAAUCCUAGCUCUUCCUCCUCUUGGUCUAAUUUUCCACAUGGGUUCACCAUUGCUUAGGAAAUCUUGAAUCUUCUUUUGCACCUGUCUUAGUGGGACUGCAUCCCUCAUAUAUUCUGCCCUUAUCCCUGUGGUUUCGUACCUAUGAAGUGUUUUUUAUGCAAAGAAUAAGCAUUAAUAUUAUAAUCGGAACACUAGUAGGAAGUUGCGAUGGAAAGUCAGUAGAUGACUGCAACUAUACCUGUAAUUGGUGACUGGAAUUGGUGGUUUGACAUAGGAAUGGAAAAGAAUGUUUUCGUUUUCGUCGACGAGGCAAACCCUCCCACAGAGAUCAAGGGAGCCAUCACUGCCUCCUCCAACCAUCUUGCACGCCAGUGCAACAACUUGUGUCCCUCUGGAGUGGCCACUGUCUGUACUCAAGCUGUCGCGCAAGCCUAGAUUAGCCAUUCGAGCUAGCAGUCCCUGUUUGAAAAGGUGUUUUGCAACAUUAGAUUGAGAUAUAUAUCCUCUGUUUAUAAGGAGAAAGGAUUGACUGAUAACUUUCACAUUACCGCAUUAACAUUAGGGAACUGACAUCUAUCUUGAUGAGCCCUGCGGGCAUUUGAGCUGUCGAGAAUGGUCAGACAAAAUCUGCAUCCUCGGACGUUGAAAAUGUUCUUGCAUUCUUGCUUUGGUAAUGGUCCUGAAGAAAAACCCAUGUUUAACCUUGUCAUAAAACUUAAUGAAAUGUUUGGGUUCACUAUAGUUACUAUGCGAUGUGCAGAGAAAUAAGUACCGAUGAGAUGCUCCCUCAGGGACUCGAAGGAUCUGCAGUGCUUCUUACAGAUUCCACACUUGGGUUCAUGCACUGAGUGAAAGGAUAUCCUCAUGUGCUCCACUAGGUGUUCCUUUUUG
rnacentral:lncRNA from 1 species